GCUGCAGAGGGCGCGCGUGAGCCCGGGUCGAGUCGCGAGCGCAGGUGGUCGCGGUCCCGGUCUUUCUCGCCGCCGGGCGCUCGCGGAGCCGACCACGCCGUAAAACCACUGUCUUCCUCCGUUUAAACUUGAGAGCCGAAGCCGGACUCCUGCCCGGGGGGCUCCACGGCGUGCCGGCGGGGGGGCUGCGUGCGGGCGGAGCAGGUCUGCGAUGGGACGGACGACUGCGGGGACGGCAGUGACGAGAGCGAGGGGCUCUGCGGCCACUACAGGAAGUGCGACUUCGAGAGCGGCACCUGCGAAUGGUCACAGGGCGAGGAGUCGAAUCUGUCCUGGAGCCGGAUCAAUCAGACUCAGACGUAUGUGACCUUUGACCCGCAGGCUGGCCCCGGGAGGGAUCACACACUGAACAUGGCUGCGGGGCACUUCCUGUACAUCAGCAGCCCAAUGAGUGAUGGCGCUCAUUGGACACACCUGCAUAGCCCAGUCCUGGAGCCCACCAAUAGCACGCAUCCCUGCACGUUGGUGCUGUACGCCCACCUUUUUGGGCCCCGUGUCGGGGUGCUGUCUGUGCUGAUCUUAACCCCUAAGAGCCUGAAGCCUGUGUGGCACAAGGAUGGUAACCAUGGUGACCUCUGGUUCAAAGGUCAGGUGGACAUUGUCGUCAACAGCACC